rnacentral:rRNA from 1 species
CACGUAGGCACCAAGCGUUGUCCGGAUUUAUUGGGCGUAAAGAGCUCGUAGGCGGUUCAGUAAGUCGGGUGUGAAAACUCUGGGCUCAACCCAGAGACGCCACCCGAUACUGCUGUGACUUGAGUACGGUAGGGGAGUGGGGGAAUUCCUGGUGUAGCGGUGAAAUGCGCAGAUAUCAGGAGGAACACCAGUGGCGAAGGCGCCACUCUGGGCCGUAACUGACGCUGAGGAGCGAAAGCGUGGGUAGCAAACAGG